GCAUUAUGGGAAGCAUCGCACACAGGAAGCGCUCCGGGCCGCCGGCCCUCGCUUGGCGCGGAGACCUGGCUGCGAGACCAAGCGUGGCUUUGAUUCUGGCGCCUGCGUGUCAGCAGCGCGGCGUGGCCGGGAAAGCUGGGCCCCGCUCUGGGGGUCCCCCUGAUGGGCCUGAGAGGAAAACGCUUUGAAAUUGAUGGGAGCUGGGAAAGCCACUGAGAGGGACGUCCUCCCCUUGAGGCUGGGUGCGUGCCUGGCACCCCGAGAAGUGAAAAAUGGGGAUUAAAUAGCGGCCCAGGCCCUGGGAAGUGGAAGGGGCGGGAACGUCGAUGAAGGGUUUAGCCAGGAUUUCUUGGAUCUUUCUUUUAUUCUCUUACCUAGCCUCUCCUCUUUUUCCGGAAGAUGCUACCCUGCACCCUUGAAACUAGAAAACCUGGUUGGAGUCUGCAAACCGCGAUGCAGGAUGUGGGCACCGAGAAAAAGCAAGAGAUCCCAGUCAGGACUUCGUUGGCCCAAACCACGGUCUGCAUGUCAGCAAAGACUUGGUUAUAAUCUCUGCAUACCUAAGAUUGCUUAGUUGAGCCAUCUUUUGGCAGCCCUUCGACGACCUUCACUAAAUCCUGGUUUCUUAGGAGCGCCCUCAUUUAACACCAAGGCCCUUUAGUUGCCUAUACAAAGGGAGGGCUUACAGUUAAUGACCUUUGUGCCCACACAGUAGUACAAGGUCAGCUAACUUAAUGUGCCCAGUGAAUGUCGAUCGGGUUAUUGGGAACUUCCUGAGAGAUGGAGCACCUUCGUUAGGAUUUCUGUUUCACAAUCUCAAGGCUUUAUUUUAGCACCUCUCUGCAAUACUUAAACAUAACCUUUGAGGUGAGAGGGAAAGGACAUUAAAAUAUCUACAUAACCAUUUCUGGAAUUCUCUCCUUGUCCACACCCACCUCCCCACCCCUUGAAUGUUCAUUUGAAUAGGCUUUUUGGCCAAACUCCAAACUCCCGCAUUAUGCACUUGUGAUGACACUGAAUUAGAUUACUGUCUGCAAGGUUAAUAUUCCCUCAGGCGUUAACCUUAGUAAACCGCGACGCCUUUUGAAGUAGCUGAGGCUCAGAAGUUCAGCUGAAUUCAAACACAGUUAACUAAGAAAAGCAGGGAUGAGCCCACAGCCUCACAAUAAACUCUACUUGAACCUUCUCCACUAAAAAAAUAUAAAUUUUAAUAAGAUGACAGUGCAUAUUCUGAAUGCUAAUUGUAACAAAACCGUGAUACAAGCUAGAGCAAGGGACAGUUAGCUGGAGGACAGCCUUCUGGCAACUUCUAGCAACUGCAGUGACAUCAAAUUCAGAUGUAUUUUUAAAAAGGGAAGAGAAGAAAAAAAAAACCC
rnacentral:lncRNA from 1 species